rnacentral:rRNA from 1 species
UACGGAGGGUGCGAGCGUUGUCCGGAAUCACUGGGCGUAAAGGGUGCGUAGGUGGCUCGUUAAGUGGCUGGUGAAAUCCCGGGGCUCAACUCCGGGGCUGCCGGUCAGACUGGCGGGCUCGAGCACGGUAGAGGCAGAUGGAAUUCCCGGUGUAGCGGUGGAAUGCGUAGAUAUCGGGAAGAAUACCGGUGGCGAAGGCGUUCUGCUGGACCGUUGCUGACGCUGAGGCACGACAGCGUGGGGAGCAAACAGG